AUUGAUGACAAGGGGAGCUUGUGUUACAGGCUGAGAGGAAGUUGGGAACUUCGACCCAUAACCUGAUUUGGAUAAUGCCAACGUAGGGAUUAUGUUAUGAGUGUUUAUA
rnacentral:ncRNA from 1 species